rnacentral:rRNA from 1 species
GUCGAACGCUUCUUUCCUCCCGAGUGCUUGCACUCAAUUGGAAAGAGGAGUGGCGGACGGGUGAGUAACACGUGGGUAACCUACCCAUCAGAGGGGGAUAACACUUGGAAACAGGUGCUAAUACCGCAUAACAGUUUAUGCCGCAUGGUAUAAGAGUGAAAGGCGCUUUCGGGUGUCGCUGAUGGAUGGACCCGCGGUGCAUUAGCUAGUUGGUGAGGUAACGGCUCACCAAGGCCACGAUGCAUAGCCGACCUGAGAGGGUGAUCGGCCACACUGGGACUGAGACACGGCCCAGACUCCUACGGGAGGCAGCAGUAGGGAAUCUUCGGCAAUGGACGAAAGUCUGACCGAGCAACGCCGCGUGAGUGAAGAAGGUUUUCGGAUCGUAAAACUCUGUUGUUAGAGAAGAACAAGGACGUUAGUAACUGAACGUCCCCUGACGGUAUCUAACCAGAAAGCCACGGCUAACUACGUGCCAGCAGCCGCGGUAAUACGUAGGUGGCAAGCGUUGUCCGGAUUUAUUGGGCGUAAAGCGAGCGCAGGCGGUUUCUUAAGUCUGAUGUGAAAGCCCCCGGCUCAACCGGGGAGGGUCAUUGGAAACUGGGAGACUUGAGUGCAGAAGAGGAGAGUGGAAUUCCAUGUGUAGCGGUGAAAUGCGUAGAUAUAUGGAGGAACACCAGUGGCGAAGGCGG